CGUGUUAGAGAGGUGUAGACAGUAGUGUUUCAGGUUAGAGAGGUGUAGACAGUAGUGUUUCAGGUUAGAGAGGUGUAGACAGUAGUGUUUCAGGUUAGAGAGGUGUAGACAGAGUAGUGUUUCGGGUUAGAGAGGUGUAGACAGAGUAGUGUUUCAGGUUAGAGAGGUGUAGACAGUAGUGUUUCAGGUUAGAGAGGUGUAGAAAGUAGUGUUUCAGGUUAGAGAGGUGUAGACAGAAGUGUUUCAGGUUAGAGAGGUGUAGACAGAGUAGUGUUUCAGGUUAGAGAGGUUUAGACAGUAGUGUUUCAGGUUAGAGAGGUGUAGACAGUAGUGUUUCAUGUUAGAGAGGUGUAGACAGUAGUGUUUCAGGUCAGACAGGUGUAGACAGUAGUGUUUCAGGUUAGAGAGGUGUAGACAGUAGUGUUUCAGGUUAGAGAGGUGUAGACAGUAGUGUUUCAGGUUAGAGAGGUGUAGACAGUAGUGUUUCGGGUUAGAGAGGUGUAGACAGUAG
rnacentral:lncRNA from 1 species